AGGACACUGUUUUCAGGACCUGUUUCUCAGGACACUGUUUUCAGGACCUGUUUCUCAGGACACUGUUUUCAGGACCUGUUUCUCAGGACACUGUUUUCAGGACCUGUUUCUCAGGACACUGUUUUCAGGACCUGUUUCUCAGGACACUGUUUUCAGGACCUGUUUCUCAGGACUCUGUUUUCAGGACCUGUUUCUCAGGACCUGUUUCUCAGGACACUGUUUUCAGGACCUGUUUCUCAGGACACUGUUUACAGCACGUCCACACGUGCUCAUUCUGUUGACUCAACACCCAGCAGCUUCCAAGUCGAGCUUGGUUUCUGUUUCCUCAGUUUAAGACGUGGGUAUGAUAUCAGCUGAAUAAUGUUAGGUUGAUGAGUUAGUGAGUGUAAGCCCAGACAUUAACGCAGUGACAUGCUAUUUGCGUUUGUAUAAAAGGGAAAGGCUUAGCUGAAACGGGAGCUAGGGGCUCUUUAAUCUCUCCCCAGCUUCAUCAUUAAAACACACUCAGUCUGCCACAGGAGACGAGCAGAGCUUUUGAAACGUGAGAUCAGAAUUCAAACAUGGGGGAAAAAACCAGUCUGUCUGCCUUAUUGUCAUCGUUUUACUCACUGGGAAAUGACCAUUUCCUUUUCACUGUCAGACUUAAAUAACUCUGUGUCCUCUUUGGUUUGCCAAGAUGCGAAAGGUCAGGUGCCUAAACAUGGGAAGGCUGUUUUCCUUUGUGAGGCGUAGGACCACUUUAAAGACCUCUGGAUGAAUAGUAGAGACAGAUAUUAACAUCAUCCUGCCAUGGCUGAAACACACUCUGGAGGACUACUGACAGCUGGGAUUGCGCUGGGCUGUCUGUGUGGACUUGUCUGUCACCUCACUAAGGCUGUCUGUCACCUCACUAAGGCUGUCUGUCACCUCACUAAGGCUGUCUGUCACCUCACUGUGUAAAAGUACUUGGCGAGUAAAGGUGAUUCUGAAUGAACACGUGCACGCACACACACACACACACACACACACACACACACACACACACAC
rnacentral:lncRNA from 13 species